rnacentral:rRNA from 1 species
GACGAACGCUGGCGGCGUGCUUAACACAUGCAAGUCGAACGGAAAGGCCCCUUUGGGGGUCCUCGAGUGGCGAACGGGUGAGUAACACGUGAGUAACCUGCCCUUGACUUCGGGAUAACUUCAGGAAACUGGGGCUAAUACCGGAUAGGAAUCCUUGCUGCAUGGUGGGGGUUGGAAAGCUUCGGCGGUUUUGGAUGGACUCGCGGCGUAUCAGCUUGUUGGUGGGGUAGUGGCUUACCAAGGCUUUGACGGGUAGCCGGCCUGAGAGGGCGACCGGCCACAUUGGGACUGAGAGACGGCCCAGACUCCGACGGGAGGCAGCAGGGGGGAAUAUUGCACAAUGGGCGGAAGCCGGAUGCAGCAACGCCGCGGGCGGGAGGACGGCCUUCGGGUUGAAAACCGCUUUCAGCAGGGGCGAAGCUUGUGGUGACGGUACCUGCAGAAGAAGCACCGGCUAACUACGUG